GACUGGAGCCUCACGCGCACCCCACCUCCGCAUUUGCUAGGUGGACCAGGUGGCAGGGGACCAAGUAAGCCCCGUGCUCCGGAGCCCCACGAAUGGACCUGGCAAGGAACAAGACCCACACGGGGCAACAAGCAAACCGUUAAGCAAAAAGCUCCUCGGUUCCGUGGCCCGCCGCCUGCCUCGCCUCACCUGGUCAAUCAAUGCCGCCGCCGCCGGGGCACCAAGAAGCUCCCAAUUCCCAUGAUAGAUCACCCUUCUGAAAAGCAGUUAUCCCAAACUCACCUCAUGCAGCAUUCUAAGGCCACUAAGACCCUAUUUCUUGCAGUUCCCGCAGCCACCAAGACCAAAUUUCCCACCAGUCUCCAUGCAGAUGAAAACACACUGCAGGUACCUGAAAUCAGCUUCACUUUUCCUAGUGCCAUCUGGCACAGGACAGAAUUGAAGACCAAGCCUCCCCAAAGAAGUCAAAGGGUCUGGUGAAUGUACCCCACAUUCUGGGGCAUAGCAUCUUGCCAGAGUGUCAGCCGGUGAGGAAGAAGAGGCCAAAGCACUUCUUGUUCUAGAAAGCUGAGUUGGAUUCGGUUGAUUACCUGAUCCCCAUAGUUCUUUCUCCUAUAUUUUUAUUUAAUGUAGUAGACAGACUGUUGGGCUUGGAAUCAAGAAAACCUGUGUUCCAAUCUUGCCUCCAAAAUUACUAGCCCUGUGACCCUGGGCAAGUCUCUUAACCUCAUUUAUAUCUUUGCUUCCUUCUAUGUAAAAUAAAUGAGUUGGGCAUGAUGAUAUCUAAGGCCCU
rnacentral:lncRNA from 1 species